UACGGAGGAUGCAAGCGUUGUCCGGAUUUAUUGGGCGUAAAGAGCUCGUAGGCGGUCUGUCACGUCGGCUGUGAAAUCCCGAGGCUCAACCUCGGGUCUGCAGUCGAUACGGGCAAACUAGAGUAUUGCAGGGGAGACUGGAAUUCCUGGUGUAGCGGUGAAAUGCGCAGAUAUCAGGAGGAACACCGGUGGCGAAGGCGGGUCUCUGGGCAAUAACUGACGCUGAGGAGCGAAAGCGUGGGGAGCGAACAGG
rnacentral:rRNA from 1 species